GUAGGUGAACCUGCGGAAGGAUCAUUAAAGAAUCGCCCGUUUUUUGAAAUGGGUCCUAUUCCCAAACCGUGUAUACAUACCUUUGUUGCUUUGGCAGGCCGCCUCUCGAGGCGUCGGCUUCGGCUGACUGCGCGUGUCAGAGGACCCAAACUCGUUUGUUUAGUGAUGUCUGAGUACUAUAUAAUAGUUAAAACUUUCAACAACGGAUCUCUUGGUUCUG
rnacentral:misc_RNA from 1 species